rnacentral:rRNA from 1 species
UGGGGAAUAUUGCACAAUGGGCGCAAGCCUGAUGCAGCCAUGCCGCGUGUGUGAAGAAGGCCUUCGGGUUGUAAAGCACUUUCAGCGAGGAGGAAGGCCGUCGUGUUAAUAGCACGAUUGAUUGCCGUUACUCGCAGAAGAAGCACCGGCUAACUCCGUGCCAGCAGCCGCGGUAAUACGGAGGGUGCACGCGUUAAUCGGAAUUACUGGGCGUAAAGCGCACGCAGGCGGUUUGUUAAGUCAGAUGUGAAAUCCCCGCGCUUAACGUGGGAACUGCAUUUGAAACUGGCAAGCUAGAGUCUUGUAGAGGGGGGUAGAAUUCCAGGUGUAGCGGUGAAAUGCGUAGAGAUCUGGAGGAAUACCGGUGGCGAAGGCGGCCCCCUGGACAAAGACUGACGCUCAGGUGCGAAAGCGUGGGGAGCAAACA